rnacentral:tRNA from 1 species
GGCCGAUUAGCUCAGUGAGUUGAGUGCGGUGCUGACAGCAAUGACUACACUGAGAUCGCGGGUUCAAUUCCUGCUUGGUCCU